AGCGACCAUGUGAAUGUGAGCAAAUCCCAAAAUAACGUCUCAGUUCGGAUUGUAGUCUGCAACUCGACUACAUGAAGCUGGAAUCGCUAGUAAUCGCGAAUCAGAAUGUCGCGGUGAAUACGUUCCCGGGUCUUGUACACACCGCCCGUCACACCAUGGGAGUCAGUAACGCCCGAAGCCGGUGACCCAACCAAACGGAGGGAGCCGUCGAAGGUGGGACCGAUAACUGGGGUGAAGUCGUAACAAGGUAAC
rnacentral:rRNA from 1 species